UGGGGGUGGAGCUAGAACCUGCAGGAUUCCCUGGAGACUAGAGUAAAGAAAGGUCACCGGCUCAGCAUGAGUAAUUCUCUAUCUAGUGCUGCUCCAUCAACGAUACAUUCAGAAGGAUUUGGAAUCAGAAAAAAACCUAGUUGGGUCCCUCAGGUCCUCCGUGGACCCUGGGUGCUCAAGCACAAGGUCCUCAACCUGCUCAUCCUCAAAGCCUGCUUCUGGCUCCAAUUACUCUCCAUCUUGUUGGAUGGAUGCUCCUUUCUUGCCUAGAAGCUAACUAGCAACUAGGUACAUGGCGCCACUUGCUGGUCGUCCCUGGAAGCAAGGCAGCAGUGACUAGUGGCGAGUCUCAACUGAGUUCCAGACAAAUCUAUCUCUUCAAGCAGGUGUGAGCCUAGGAUCCAUCUCUCAUCACCCUCUGGUGUCCUGGGGAUCAAAUGAGUUCUGAGAUAGAAAGAACCACAGAACACAGCAUGCCCAGAUUAUCAGUCUGUCAUGUGACCUUAGCCAGCCAUUGGCAUCUCUGGACUACAAUGCCUGUCCAUGACAUGGAGUUUGUGUGAGAUUCCCCAUUGGGGUUCUUGAACAGCAAGCGUUAGCCCUGUCCUAGACAGGACAAUUCCAUCAAAUCUGAGGAAGAAGAACACCCCAGAAAUACAGUGCCACAUGUCUCUCAGCAUCUAUGUGAUUUAAGGCAACCUGGUGCAGAAGGACUCCACCACCACUAGCCAAGAAGCAGGAGCUAGGCCCACCAAUACUAUUCUGCAAUCAAGCCCAAGGCAGAACACUGCAGCUAACCUGCCCUCCUCUGAUGUGGAGAAGAGCCCAGGGCUCCUAGACAUACAUCAGAGGAAGACAGCUGGGGACCAGAGCUACCCACAAGGCACUGCGGAUACCGGCCUCUUCACCCUUUGACACACAGAGGUCUCCACAGUGAACCAGCCACUCAGAAUGCAACCUUUCCUGAAGCUGGCUAUCCGGGGAAAUUAGUGCUAGACCAGAAGGGCUUGGUGGGCGAGGAUGGUGGACCUCAGUCUGGGACAGCUAAGCUCACAGCCCAGCUUUCCCAUUUGGCAUGACAACCUCCAUGUUCCGUCUUCCCAUUGGCUAAGCACAGCCAGGUCUACCUCUCAGGGUCUGCUGGAAAUGAAACCGGCUCCCACCACGCCAUCUUUCCAGGAGGAAGCCUGGAUCCACAGCGACACAUCCAUCACCAAGGGCUUAAUCUAGAAGAGACUUCAACGUCUUGCCCCAUCAAGAGCGUGUAUAACAGCACACUCCCAGCUCUUCCCUCUGCCUGUGAUUUUACUGAGCGCUUACUGUAUGCAAACAGUACUAGCCAGUAGGGCUGGAAUGACAGGAAAGGUAGUCUGAAUGCUACAGCCCAAGGUCUACAAGGGAGUCAGGAGAUGGACAGACAUCAAACUGACAGACUCACAGCCAAGCUGCCGAAGGACCAUAUGACCAGAAAGGAAUGAAUCUGAGUGGUCAGAGAAUUAUCUUUGGCUCUCUUCCUCCACGCUGGUCAUAAGGGUGGCGUGUCGCAGCUAUUGUGGACUCUGAGGCAAAGCUGAUGGGUAAGGGGGUGGGCAUCGUUCUUGAGAACUCGGCUUGUAUAAAGACAGAGGGAAUAUUCAUCCUGUUUUAAGAACUUUAGUUAUCUAGCUGCUUCUCUGCCCUCCAAACCCUCUGAACCACAUGCCUAGAAUUAGUAAGGAGUGGGCCAGUAGGAACCAGUAGGAACCCUGGUGAGAGGAGUCUGGGCAGGUUUUGGUUGAAUUCAUUUGAGUGGAAGGGAUUAGCAGGAGAUAGAAGACUUGUUAAAUAAAUCAAGUUGGAGAUAAAUAUGGGGUGACAAGCUGGGAAUGAUCUUUAGGGCCAUCUGCAGGCACAGCUCUCAAGAUGCAACAGAUGAAUUCAGCAGUUAAAGACAGGCCUGAGAGAAGGGGCUCAAAGCCAGGAGACCCAACCUCCACACCAGUGACGCCUCAAGUCCAGCCCUCAGCUAACCCAGACUAGGUCACUCAAAGACUUCAGAGUUGGCGACCAAGGGAUCAGGCUUGAAAUCUACCUCUGACUAAUGGAGAUGGCCAGGCAAGCUCUCUGGGACCUUCGCAUCUUAGUAUACUAAAGGGACAAUGACAAUGGGUGAAACAAUAUU